rnacentral:rRNA from 1 species
GGGGCGAGCGUUGUCCGGAAUUACUGGGCGUAAAGGGCGCGUAGGNGCUGCUUAAGUCAGAGGUGAAAACUGCCGGCUCAACCGGCACCCUGCCUUUGAAACUGAGCAGCUUGAGGGCAGGAGAGGGGAGUGGAAUUCCCAGUGUAGCGGUGAAAUGCGUAGAUAUUGGGAGGAACACCAGUGGCGAAGGCGGCUCUCUGGCCUGUUGCUGACGCUGAGGCGCGAAAGUGGGGGAGCAAACGGGAUUAGAUACCCCGGUAGUCCACGCCGUAAACGAUGGGUGCUAGGUGUAGGAGGUAUCGACCCCUUCUGUGCCGUAGUUAACACAAUAAGCACCCCGCCUGGGGAGUACGGCCGCAAGUUGAAACUCAAAGGAAUUGACGGGGGCCCGCACAAGCGGUGGAGCAUGUGGUUUAAUUCGACGCAACGCAAGAACCUUACCAGGGCUUGACAUCCCCUGACCGCCUAUGAAAGUAGGUUUUCUAUCUUCGGGUAGACAGGGAGACAGGUGGUGCAUGGUUGUCGUCAGCUCGUGUCGUGAGAUGUUGGGUUAAGUCCCGCAACGAGCGCAACCCCUACGUUUAUUUGCUAACGUGUAAAGGCGAGCACUCUAGACGAACUGCCGUUGACAAACGGAGGAAGGUGGGGAUGACGUCAAAUCAUCAUGCCCCUAUGUCCUGGGCACACA